CUACGGGAGGCAGCAGUGGGGAAUAUUGGACAAUGGGGGGAACCCUGAUCCAGCAAUGCCGCGUGUGUGAAGAAGGUCUUCGGAUUGUAAAGCACUUUCACUAGGGAAGAUGAUGACGGUACCUAGAGAAGAAGCCCCGGCUAACUUCGUGCCAGCAGCCGCGGUAAUACGAAGGGGGCUAGCGUUGCUCGGAAUGACUGGGCGUAAAGGGCGCGUAGGCUGUUUGUACAGUCAGAUGUGAAAUCCCCGGGCUUAACCUGGGAACUGCAUUUGAUACGUGCAGACUAGAGUCCGAGAGAGGGUUGUGGAAUUCCCAGUGUAGAGGUGAAAUUCGUAGAUAUUGGGAAGAACACCGGUUGCGAAGGCGGCAACCUGGCUCGGAACUGACGCUGAGGCGCGAAAGCGUGGGGAGCGAACAGGAUUAGAUACCCUGGUAGUCCACGCUGUAAACGAUGUGUGCUGGAUGUUGGGUGAUUUUAUCAUUCAGUGUCGGAGCUAACGCGUUAAGCACACCGCCUGGGGAGUACGGCCGCAAGGUUGAAACUCAAAGGAAUUNACGGGGGCCCGCACAANCGGUG
rnacentral:rRNA from 1 species